rnacentral:rRNA from 1 species
AGAGUUUGAUCCUGGCUCAGGAUGAACGUUGGCGGUGUGCCUAAUACAUGCAAGUCGAACGAAGAUUGUAGCAAUACGGUCUUAGUGGCGAACGGGUGAGUAACGCGUUGGUGAUCUGCCUCGAAGUGUGGAAUAACGAUUCGAAAGAAUCGCUAAUACCGCAUAGUCUCUCUUUUUCCAGAAAUUUGAGAGUAAAGGAUUUAUUCGCUUUGAGAGGAGCCUGCGUCCCAUCAGCUAGUUGGUAAGGUAAUGGCCUACCAAGGCGAUGACGGGUAGGGGACCUGAGAGGGUGGCCCCCCACAAUGGAACUGAAACACGGUCCAUACACCUACGGGUGGCAGCAGUAGGGAAUAUUAGAAAUGGACGAAAGUCUGAUCUAGCAACACCGCGUGUGCGAAGAAGGCCUUCGGGUUGUAAAGCACUUUUUGGAAGGAUUAGGAAGGAAUGUACUUCCAGAAUAAGUCUCGGCUAACUACGUGCCAGCAGCCGCGGUAACACGUAGGAGGCAAACGUUAUCCGGAUUUACUGGGCGUAAAGCGCGUGUAGGUGGUUCUGUAAGUAGGGCGUGAAAGCUCCUGGCUCAACUGGGAGAGGCCGUUCUAAACUGCAGAGCUAGAGGAUGGUAGAGGGAGGUGGAAUUCCGGGUGUAGCGGUGGAAUGCGCAGAUAUCCGGAGGAACACCAGUGGCGAAAGCGGCCUCCUGGACCAUUCCUGACACUCAGACGCGAAAGCUAGGGUAGCAAACGGGAUUAGAGACCCCGGUAGUCCUAGCCCUAAACGAUGUAGACUUGGCGUCGGUG